rnacentral:rRNA from 1 species
AUUGAACGCUGGCGGCAGGCCUAACACAUGCAAGUCGAACGAGUGGCGGACGGGUGAGUAAUGUCUGGGAAACUGCCUGAUGGAGGGGGAUAACUACUGGAAACGGUAGCUAAUACCGCAUACCAUCGGAUGUUCCCAGAUGGGAUGAGCUAGUAGGUGGGGUAACGGCUCACCUAGGCGACGCUCCCUAGCUGGUCUGAGAGGAUGACCAGCCACACUGGAACUGAGACACGGUGCAGAAGCCUACGGGAGGCAGCAGUGGGGAAAAGUGCACAAUGGGCGCAAGCCUGAUGCAGCCAUGCCGCGGGUAUGAAGAAGGCCUUCGGGUUGUAAAGUACUUUCAGCGGGGAGGCGUUACACGCAGAAGAAGCACCGGCUAACUCCGUGCCAGCAGCCGCGGUAAUAC